rnacentral:rRNA from 1 species
AUUGAACGCUGGCGGCAGGCCUAACACAUGCAAGUCGAACGCGUGGCGGACGGGUGAGAAAUGUCUGGGACACUGCCUGAUGGAGGGGGAUCUACUCUGGAAAGGGUCGAUAAUACCGUAUUCCCUCGGGUGUGCACAGGUGGGAGUAGCUAGUAGGUGGGGUAACGGCUCACCUAGGCGACGAUCCCUAGCUGGUCUGAGAGGAUGACCAGCCACACGGGAACUGAGACACGGUCCAGACUCCUACGGGAGGCAGCAGUGGGGAAUAUUGCACAAUGGGCGCAAGCCUGAUGCAGCCAUGCCGCGUGUAUGAAGAAGGCCUUCGGGUUGUAAAGUACUUUCAGCGGGGAGGCGUUACCCGCAGAAGAAGCACCGGCUAACUCCGUGCCAGCAGCCGCGGUAAUAC